rnacentral:lncRNA from 1 species
GACAACAGUAACAGAAUUCUCUGCCAGCCUUUGUCUCCGUCUCGUAAGACACUGAGUGAAAAGUCCCUACAUUGUUUUUCACAUUUCCUAGGAAGAAGAAACCCAGGCAUGCCAGAAAAAUAUCGAGGGGUCCAGGUAGGAGGUGUUCUGAAGGUCAGAUCUGGAAGCUGCAACACGUAUAGCUUGUUUUGAGUUGAACAAGCCAGUGUGAACGACCACAGGAUUCUAUGGUCUACGCAAGGUCUACACAGCCAAAGCGGUCAGGAGGAAAGUCCUUCAUUUCCCUUGGAGAAGGCAAAGCAAAAAUGUACAGAGAGCCCUUCCUCCCCCUUUUCCUUGGACAGUAGAAAAACCGUGUGGCCAUCCCUUCCUUUCUGACAAAAUUUGGCUGAGCCCCGUGCCUCCAUGCG